rnacentral:rRNA from 1 species
UUAAAAAGCUCGUAGUUGGAUUUCUGCGGGGGCGGGGCGGCCGGAUGCUUAUAGCAUCUCGAGCUAGCACUUCCCCCGCAUCCCGCCGCGAACCGUGCUACCAUUAGUUUGGUGGCGCUGGGGAUCGGCUCGUUUACUUUGAGAAAAAUAGAGUGUUCAAAGCAGGCCACACGCCUUGAAUAAGUUAGCAUGGAAUAAUGAUAAAGGACUUCGGUUCUAUUUUGUUGGUGUUCGGGACUGAAGUAAUGAUUGAUAGGGACAGUUGGGGCGGUCAGUAUUCCAAAGCGAGAGGUGAAAUUCUUAGACCUUCGGAAGACUAACAGCUGCGAAAGCGUUCCGCAAGGAUGUUCCCUUUGAUCAAGAACGAAAGUUGGGGGAUCGAAGACGAUC